rnacentral:rRNA from 1 species
GGGUUGUCAUGCCAAUGGCACUGCCCGGUAGCUAAAUGCGGAAGAGAUAAGUGCUGAAAGCAUCUAAGCACGAAACUUGCCCCGAGAUGAGUUCUCCCUGAGACUUAAAGUCUCCUGAAGGAACGUUGAAGACGACGACGUUGAUAGGUCGGGUGUGUAAGCGCAGCGAUGCGUUGAGCUAACCGAUACUAAUGAACCGUGAGGCUUAACCUU